UAAAUAGAAUUAAAUGUGACCAGUCUCACAGCUAUGUCCGGAAAGUGCCUUCAUCUACAUGAUAGUAGGCUUAGAAGGCAAUGAUAAUUCAGUGUGGUCUGUGUUAACUAGAAAGUAUUCUCAGUGUGCUUUAAAUGCAUACAAUUUUAUUGCAAGUGAGGUUUAAGAUGUUCAUUUCACAGGAAAUGUCAAUGAAAAGGGCAAAGAGUUGCAGAUAAGGAUCACGGAGAACACAUGCUGAUAGUGGAUCCACUUUGUGAGACUUGUCUCAACUAAGAGUUGCUGAGGUUUAGGAUCUGUGACCUUGACAACAAUGCUGGUUAUGUUACUUAUACAGAUACUCCAUACAAAUUUGCAUUCAAUUCAAAUUCUCUUCCCAUGUGAGCAACACAGGGAAACAGCAUUAAGCAGCAACUUUUUAACUUUUGUAGCUGAUUAAUUAGUCUGUAAUUAAAGGACUUGAACAUAUUUGUGAUGUGCUUGUUUUUUUUGUUUUGUUUUUUAAACAUGCUAAGAGUAAUCUGGUGUUCAGAUCCCAGAAGAUCUAUGUGACAAACUUGAGAUUUUGACAGUCCUGAUAUAAUUCACGGUUUAACCCUCACUACCUUAUAUGUUUCAUGGUCAGUUGGAUUGUUUGGGGUUUUUCCAAUUGUGGCUGUCCACCCCUUUGGCGUGGAGCUUCCCACGUCUCACCUGGGCCUCGUCUACAUGCAAUCAGCAGGAGGGCUUUUUAAACCCGGAGCAGUCUGCCAUUCCUCGCCAGUUUGUUAUGUGCCUUCCAGCAGUAACUGGACAGCUCACUUGUGUAACUGUGGUAGUUGACUUUUCCUCAUGUAACCUUAUUCUCCCUGUGUACAGAGGGUGUCACUUCCAUAAUUUGGACUUGCCGGGAGGAACUUCCUUUCCUCUGCUCUGGGAAUCUCUGGCUGCCUUCCCUGCCUGCUUGCCUGCUCUCCUGCCUGCCACUGCACCCCGGAUAAUCUGGCUGCUCAACUACCUCUGAACACUUCCACAAACCUCCCCUCCUCAGAGCCCUGCAAACCCCUCCUCAUCCCUCUGUUCCUCGUUGCCACUCUCCCCUUUGUGAUCCAGCCCUUAGGAUCCCCUCUCCAGAGCCAGUUGAUUAUUUCAGUUAAAUAAAAUCUUUAUAAAUAGUU